CGCUACCUUUGUUCAAUGUAAAUGUUCGCAAAGAAUUAGCAGGCUGUUGCAACACAUACAAAGAUCCAAAAAUAAAUACUUUGCAACACUUUUGUAGUGUUUAUAGUGUUGUCUGAGUUCACAUUAAACCAUUUAUCACAUCACUGGACAACACCUGAUCACACACACACACACACACACACACACACACACAGAUACAAGGGGAGGAGACAAAAUAGCCAUAAUACAGAAAGAGCUAUGGAGGGAGAGCAUGAGUAGCUAGUGUAAAUGUUAGCAGCUUUUUUUUCCUCAAACCUUUGUAGGGGCUGUGAGUAAAAAGUGCGUGUGAACUCAAAGAGAAGGGGAAAAUGCAUUUUUAUUUUCUUCGUUACUUCCCUAAGCCACCAUUGCACUGUUUUGUAUAAAUUAACCAUGAAACAUCACUAAGCUGAAACCGUCACACCGAUACUUUGAGAGAUAUUACCCUGAUAAUAAAAUAUGUUUUAAAUCUCAGUCAUACUGUUUAAUUUAUGACGCUGCUCUUUUAUCCGUUGUCUUUUUACGCCAUAAAGGAGCUUAAAGGGACACACAUGCAUCACCGCAGACUUGCUCUUGUUGUCCUCCACGUGUAAAUAUUAAUUUUGCAAGCUAACUACAACAUUAACAGUUGUCAUGGGCUGUGAAAGGGAAAAACAGUUUUUCUCCAGCAAGGGCUUUUAAUUUUUAAAGGACAGGAGCACACAAGGGCUUUUUAAAUGCUCAGCGCUGCAGCAGUGUCAUUUUAAAGGGUGUUGUGUGGAAGGAAAGGCAAAGUACAUUUGCACCUGAACAACUGUUUUUUAACCAGCUGAAUAGCUAACUAACGAUAUAACACGCUUCAUGCAAAAAGAGAAGCGGAGGAAGAGAAAUAGACUCUUCUACUCAUGUUAGUUACCGGUAAGCCUUUAGCUGCUUUUUCUGGCUAACUUAGGUUAGAAGGGUAACUUUCUGAUGUAAUUAGAGAUUAAGAGUAUCGCCUUAAGCAGAGGUAGGAUACUUUUGGUUAAGAAUUAUUUGAGUUAGUUUAAGGAUCAAACAUAUAUUAGCAAAAAUAUUGUUAAUCAAACUUGGUGCCAAAUAUUACUCAAAAUAUUUCCUGUAUAUCAUGGUCUCCAGGUUAGCUUUAGAUUUUAGGUUCAGUCCUCCAAGUACUCUUUGUUUGCAUAGGGUUUCCUGCAGUAUACUCACUCAGCAGUAGUAGCUAUGUAGCUCAGCACAUCCGUGGCCCCUAUAGGGGUCAGAGUUCUGAACCGCAUCCAUGAGCCAUGUCAACAUUAAUAUUUCAAACCAUGCAUGCCAUAUCCAUCCGCUUCCAGUGCUUACAUUCGCUCUAUUUCUAAUCCAGUCUCAAAUGGCACCCUAAUCUCUACACUCCGUAAGGGACACUGGACAGCUACAUUUAAGACGCCUUUCAAGGGUGUGUGGAACUGUAAGCCUGUGUCGUGUUUAACGAUGUUUACUCCAAUAGAGCACAGGGUGCUAUUUGAGACUAGACCUCUGUCUAUCUCUUCUUACCGCCAUACAGCUUUGAUACUCUGAAAUCAACAACAAAUAAUUGUAUUAUUAGUAAAAAAAAAAUAUUCUACUCUAAAGGUGCCACUGUGCAGAGGAUGACAAACUCUGUCACAUAUUAUAGUUAUUAAUCUAUUAAUGGGGGGGGGGGGGGUAGUCGAAAGGGAGCAGAGUUGGGAAGCAGGGGUUGUAGUCUUUGUAAUAUUAUAUUAUUCUAGUUUCAUUUUCUACUUUGAUGUGGUUUGUGAGAUUGUGUUGUUUUAGCACAUCUGAAGCCUCUGACGAAAGGGGAGCAAGAGACAAUGGAGCGCUCGGACGAUCUGUCGUGGACAUUAACCUCACCUAACUGGUGUCAGAGGUCAACUUUACAGUUUUUCAGCGGGACAUUCAACACUGAAAGUGCAAUAUACACACACACACACACACACACACACACACACAUAUGCCUUCAAAGUAAGGUUACUAUACCUUUGAGGACCCAUUCCCCCAACGCACUAGAGACUUAAGUUCUGUGACCUGGAUACAGAAAAUAAUGCAAUGUAAUACAGUAGUAAAAACAAAUACUACUUUUAUAACGCUUCAAAGUAUCCACUUUUUUCAAGACUAACAGAUGUAACAUAAUAGAAACAGUUUACCAUGUAAGCCUCUGUAAUACAACUCAAAAAUACCGCAGAUUUGAACAACAGCCUCUUCAGCAGUGUCACCAAAACAACAACUUUAGAUUUCACAGAAGUAAUGUUUUUGCAGGACUGCCAUGAUAAAUUGUUUUUCAUUCUAGGGUUGCUUUUGCUGCUUGCACUCAUAUGUAUUCUUUAUCUAUUUAGAUGGUUAAUAGUGUUAUUACAUUUUAUCUUCUCCCCUUUCACUGUGGCUUUAAAAAAAGUCAUCUGUCCUUGAAAUCUGUUGGUACUUUUAAAUAAAGGUUCAAAGUAACACAUUAAGGCAAUUAAAUGCUCCAAAGGAAGCCUGGAGCACACAUAUGUUGUGAAUAAAUAGUGAUAUCACUCAGGUUUCUCUUAAAAUAAAACAAAAAAAUGAAUAACAAAUGUAGCAAUUUGAGAAAUUAACAUGUUCAUUAAUUAAUAAUAUGCUCUAAACUAUGGCCAUCCUUUCCAAAUUGUAACUAUGACCUUAUAUACUUAAAAAACGGACCCUACAAAAGAAUUGUGUGCAAUGUAGGUCCUCAAAAGUAUAGAAACACAAGACAUAGCAAUACACACAUUCAUUAAUGGUCACAUACAUAUACACAGACAUUCAUUUGUGCACAGAUACACUCACUUAUACAACACACACUCGCAACUUCGGCCAGUGCAGUUUGUGGAUAAAUGUGUUCUGUUAAAAGAAAAAUCACUGUGUCAUGUUUGGAAAAAAAAUCAUUUUAAGUGUUUAUUUUUGAAAAAAAAAAAAAAAAUGCCGCGGAUUUGUCGCUCUUCAAAGGAACUUCAAGUACUGAGCCAGCUAAUCAAACACAGAGGUCCAGAAGAAAUGUUUGAGAAAUGUGAAUUUAUUGGAAUAGACAAACACAUGUUAAAAGAACUCUACACUUUGCACAUGCAACCAACACACACACACACACACACACAAACACACACACACACACACACACACAGGUUACUGUGUGAGGAGGGCUUACAGGUGGAGUUAUGUGCCUGCAUGUUUGUGCGUUAAUAUCUAUGUGUGCGUGUGUGUGUGUGUGUGUGUGCGUGUGCGUGUGCGUGUGCGCCGUUAGUCUCUCCUCACCCAUGCACCCAGUGCCUGCCUGUCCUGCCUUCAUACUGCUCCCAGAUCAGCCAUGGGGCUUCCAGUAUAACCUCCUCUGAAUUCCCACAACCUUUAACGGUUGCGCUGGGAUCAGUUUUAGAGCUAACUGCCCCGAUCAUUCCUCAACAGACGCAGCCAUACAAGAUACAAGGACUGUUUUGGAGUCAGUGGUUUCUGGUGGAUAUUGUGUACAAAAUGUAUUAAUGAUGAGUUUAUAUUACAAGGCUAAGGAGAAGGCAUUUUUUUAAUUUCCAACGUCUGACUGGACUGUUAACUUUGAGUUUUGAUGAACCUGCUGUUCACAUCUGACUCACUGUGUUGGUCUGUAAGGCUGAUUUAGGAUCGGCAGAGGGGGCUUAGCGGGAUAGACCCAAAUCUAUUGAGUCCCCAAUGACAGCUGGUCUUCAAUGAGCGCUACCUGGUGUAGCCUGCUGUUCCUCAUGUUCUCAAACUUCACAAAUAUUAACAAAAAAAAAGGGGGACUAGCUUGUCUUCAAUACUUGCUUGUCAAACGAUUGUGUUGCUGAGGAUUUGUCUGUAGGAGCUCCUACAUCAGAAUGCUUCUUCUUUCAGAUGACGUGAGAGGUCGUCCAACUUGUACUGCCAAUUAGAAUUAAAUGUUCUUCAUGUGGGACAUUUUACAUAAAGACAGGUUUCCAAAAAUAUUUCCCUUAACAGAAUCUCUGAUUCAAAUAGCAGCAACAAUUUAGUUAAUUAUUCUGGCCUUGGUGCCUAUUAAGUCCAUUUUUUUAGUGCCAGGCUUUAGCCCUUUAGCUAGAGAGAUUUUGUACCUGUCUUGCAGUUUACACGUUAUUUUGACAGGAAGUACAGUGAUUAAAAUCUCAAACCCCGCGUUCAGACAGUGUUGUUUACAUGCAGAACAUGUCCGAGGCUGGCAUGGUUGACUGACCAAGGAUGAAAGGUCCAAAAUGGCAGAAAGUUUAACCAGGCUUCAAGAGUGUUGUCCUGCAUAAGGUGUAUUCAGGCUCCCUUAUGCAUUAAUUGCUUGUGAGCAUUGGCAACAGUACACGUUAUAGGUGUCUUCUUAUUGUUUUUUGGGGUUAUUUAGUGGAAUCGUGAGUUGAUCUUAUUCAAAAAGAUGAUCUGAUUCUAGUUUUUAUUGAUGUUUUCUAAAAAAGUCACUAGAGAUUUUCAGGCCAAAUCCUACAAUUUAUAUGUGAUCUAUUGGAUCAUUAUUUCGAUUUUCAAUGAGUCAAACUCUCAUCUGAGAAAGUCAAGCCCCAAAGAGACUACGUUGCCCAUCACCUUCUACGGAGCUACAUUGUAAUGGGUGGAGUCAGGCUACCAUGCAUAGAGACCAGUAUAAAAACACAGAAUAAUCAAAAGUUUUGUAUGAUCACAGAGUGCUCAUACUGUGAGUGGUCUAGUCAGGCUAGCAGCAUGUAGCUGAUGGCAAUGUCGGUCAUUGACCACUUUGGUCCAAAAUGAAAUAUCUUGACAACUAUUUACUGGAUGGUAAUAGAAUUUGGUAGACGUACAGAUAUUCAUGGUGCCCAGAGGAGAAGUCCUGCUUGCUUCGGUGACACCCCUGACAUAUCCUCUAGGUUGACGUUGGACAAUUUUAAGUGGAAUGUCGAGACAACUCGACAUCAUCAGGUCAAUUGUUUGUUUGUAACUUAAUACCCACAACACCAAGGACAUUCAGCCCCAGCUGCACCUUAGUGUUUAGUGCUACAAAACUGCUAAACGACUAAACAUCACCACGUUAGCUUUGUCAUUGUCCAGUUACAUUGGAGUAUUAGUGUUAGUAUUUAGCUCAAAGCACCAGUGUGCAGUCUAGCAAAGCCACUAGCAUGGCUUCAGACUCUUAGUCUUGUUAAUUGAAGUAGUUUAAAUGGUAAAUGAUUGUAACCUGACUUUGUCCAUUUUAAAGUUGACAUGAGUCAACUACUGUUAGAUAACAAAAUGCCAGAAUACAAACUCAGGAGAAGAGAUGGUGAUGUUAGUGACAUUUUUUAAGUAUUUCUUAAUCGAUUCAAAUUUGCAUUUAUUUUUCUCCUAGUGUACAGUGACAAUAAAUGGAGUAGUCCCUUCAAAAGAGCAC